rnacentral:rRNA from 1 species
CCUACGGGAGGCAGCAGUGAGGAAUAUUGGUCAAUGGCCGAGAGGCUGAACCAGCCAAGUCGCGUGAGGGAAGACGGCCCUACGGGUUGUAAACCUCUUUUGUCGGGGAGCAAAGCGAACCACGUGUGGCUCAUUGAGAGUACCCGAAGAAAAAGCAUCGGCUAACUCCGUGCCAGCAGCCGCGGUAAUACGGAGGAUGCGAGCGUUCUCCGGAUUUAUUGGGGUUAAGGGGUGCGCAGGCGGAGGUGCAAGUCAGCGGUCAAAUUGCGGGGCUCAACCCCGUAAUGCCGUUGAAACUGCAUCCCUGGAGCGGGCGAGAAGUAUGCGGAAUGCGUGGUGUAGCGGUGAAAUGCAUAGAUAUCACGCAGAACUCCGAUUGCGAAGGCAGCAUACCGGCGCGCAACUGACGCUCAUGCACGAAAGCGUGGGUAUCGAACAGGAUUAGAUACCCGAGUAGUC